UCUGAAUUUUAAAAAAAUUCCCAGCUGCUGCUGUUGCUGCUGAUUAUAGAUCACACUUUGGGUAGUGUGUUAAUCAGCAUUUUAUCACUGGGAUCAACAUAUCUGACAAUAACUACUUAGAGGAGAAAAGGUUUAUUCUGGGCUCAUGGUUUCAGAGGUUCAGUUUAUAGUCUGCCAACUCCAUUGCCCUGAGCCCGAGAUGAAGCAUAAGAUCUUUCUAGAAGAGCAUGGCAGAGGAAAGUGGUUCAACUCAGACAGAAUAGGGAGCACAAGGAGCCAGGAACGACCCACUUUCUCCAGCUACACCUACCUGUCUACAGUUACCACCCAGUUAGUUCAUUCAAAUUAUUAAUCCAUAAAAUCUGAUUUAUCUACUGUCUCGGUUAUAGCUCUCCUAAUCUAAUCAUUUCACCCCAAACAUUUCUGCAUUAACACGGGAGCUUCUGGUAGAUACCUCAUAUCCAAACGAUAGUAGGUAACAAGAACUUAAACUAUGGAAAGGUAUCAAAACUAGUCUAUAGAAGCCAGAAAGGAAAAGACUGAUAUAUGUGAUUGUAGGUUCUCCCUUUAUGGUCAGUUUCCUUUUUAAUGGACAAAGAGGCUAGUAUUAAGAAUAUGUAUAGGACACCAAUAAAUCAAUAAGGAAAAGGCAAAAGAUGAGAAAAAAAAGGGCA
rnacentral:lncRNA from 1 species